rnacentral:tRNA from 1 species
GAUCUCGUAGCUCAGUUGGCCAGAGCGCUGGUUGUACUAAAGCCUUCCGCUUGCUGCCGUGGUUUCGAAUCCCACCGAGGCCA